UACCUGCAGCUCGAGUGGUGAUCACUAUUAUUGGGCCUAAAACGUCCGUAGCCGGUUUAUUAAAUGCCUGGGUAAAUCGUAUAGCUUAACUAUACGAAUUCCGGGUAGACUGUUAAACUUGAGACCGGGAGAAGCCGGAGGUACUCCUGGGGUAGAGGUGAAAUUCUGUAAUCCUAGGGGGACCACCAGUGGCGAAAGCGUCCGGCUAGAACGGGUCUGACGGUGAGGGACGAAGCCCUGGGGCGCAAACCGGAUUAGAUACCCGGGGUAGUCCAGGGUGUAAACGCUGCUUGCUUGAUGUUAGUCGGGCUCCGAGCCCGAUUAGUGUCGGAGAGAAGUUGUUAAGCAAGCUGCCUGGGAAGUACGGUCGCAAGACUAGAAACUUAAAGGAAUUGGGCGGGGAGCACAGACAACGGGAGGAGCGUGCGGUUU
rnacentral:rRNA from 1 species